rnacentral:rRNA from 1 species
AACGAACGCUGGCGGCAUGCCUAACACAUGCAAGUCGAACGAGACCUUCGGGUCUAGUGGCGCAAGGGUGCGUAACGCGUGGGAACCUGCCCUUAGGUUCGGAAUAACUCCCCGAAAGGGGUGCUAAUACCGGAUAAUGUCUUCGGACCAAAGAUUUAUCGCCUUUGGAUGGGCCCGCGUUGGAUUAGCUAGUUGGUAGGGUAAAAGCCUACCAAGGCGACGUUCCAUAGCUGGUCUGAGAGGAUGAUCAGCCACACUGGGACUGAGACACGGCCCAGACUCCUACGGGAGGCAGCAGUGGGGAAUAUUGGACAAUGGGCGAAAGCCUGAUCCAGCAAUGCCGCGUGAGUGAUGAAGGCCUUAGGGUUGUAAAGCUCUUUUACCCGGGAUGAUAAUGACAGUACCGGGAGAAUAAGCUCCGGCUAACUCCGUG